CUGCUGGGGAGAAUGAGCUUGGAGCCGCAGGGCUUAAUCCCGCGCGGCUCAGAGAUGGGUUUCUGGACUCGCGAAGCAGCUGCAACAAGGCAUCACUCAUUGUACAAGUAUUUCCAUUUCUGAGAGCAAAAGGAAGAACUUAAGCGGGCGGCACUUGGAGUGUAAAUUGCUUUGUAGUAUUUAAAGGCAGAAUGGAUCCUGGGCAGCCGAGCUGAAACACUCUUGAAGAUAUACUCAGAAGUAAUGUUUUACCAGCUAUCUGGGCAUCCUUUAGCUCAGUCAAGUUGAUGCAUAAAAUUAACCAUCACAAGUUGCUUCCCCCUUCUUUACUAUGAAAAGUCAACUUUUGAGUCUUUUCUUAAAUGCCAUAUCUCCUGGGAGGCUUUUUCUAACUCACAGGCAGAGAUAGAUAUUCUGAAGCCUUAAAUUUGUACCUUGGUCACACAACAAACCAGCAGGACUUCCUGUGAAAUCAUGACCCCCAUGUGCUCUUUCAGCCCCCAUCAAUUCGUACCUCUAAGCACCUGAGAGCCAAAGUAAACCACAGGAAACCACAGACUCAAACUAAACAUCAUCCUUUCCUGGCUCUCAAUCCUGCUGGUCCCUGAACUAAAACACACAUUAUCAACUCUACUUGUUCUUAGUCCUUUGGAGUCAGACUGGGACUACACCAUUGACUCUUCCGGAACUCCAGCUUACUGACUACAGAUCUUGGAACUUUUCAGCUUUCACAACCAUGAAAGUUAUAUAACAUGUCAAGAGUGAAGAAUGAGUUUGGAAAAGUUACUCUUCAUGGCAUUCUUUUACUGUGAACCUCGAAUGGUGUGCUUGAGCCAUUGGAAGCAGGCUGAAACAAUUGGAAAACACUGAAUUAGUGGGAGGUAAGGGCGGUAUCUGCAACAGCUGAAGUAAAAGGAACUUUUCUGCAGAGUAAAGCAGCUUAGUUACAACCCUCAAAGCUCAAACGUCAAUCCAUUCCCAAGCAGGACAAGUGUGGGUGAUAUAUGGAAAGGCUAUUUUAAAAUCCGCUUGAGCUUGCCAAUCUGGAGAUUUGCCCAGGAAAGAGAGCCUCAGAAAAAUCACUAUGCAAACAAGCAAAUUUUAUCAAAUUUAUGCAGAACUUGAGAGUCACAGAAACUAAUUGGACAGAAUCCCAUCUAAGAUUUCAUCAUUAAUAAUUACUAUGACAGAUAGUUAUUUUAACUGUCUUUUCUCUCAUGUCUGUUUCAAUGACUUAAUAAGUAUGUGUAUUUGUUUUGUGCAAUAUUAUCAUGGAAAAAAUACUUUCCCAACAUGUCCUUAUAAAGCUAAUUCUGUUCUUUUGGACCUUGCUGAAUCUUACAUCAUUUUUCAAAUAUGGCUAUGCUGUCAAAUAGAAGUGGUAGGGACAUUUUUUUCUAAAGUCAGAGCAUUUCAUUUUGAAUGCUCAAGAAAAUCACAAAAGCCAAGUGUUACUUUCUUUUAAAAUAAAGGUUUGUUUAACAUCUUGCGUUAUGCAAAAUAUUUAAGUGACAUUAAAUAAUUGUGAAUACUUUCUGUAAUAUCAACAGAAUAUUUUUGUCCGCAAAGUGAUGUCAAUAUAUUGAGUGAAACACUCUGUAUUAAACAUAAUAUUAAUGCU